AGACAAAAAUGUAUAUUUUAACCAUUUGUGGGAUUGGUUUGAUAUAUUUAGUUUCCAAGGUAUUUUUCUCUACUCCGGAGAAAAUAGGUGUUUACAUGCAGCCGGGAUUUCUUAGUCCACUUAAACAAUUGAUCAUGUACUUGUUAAUCAAAUUCAGGUA